GACGAACCGUGCGAACGUUGUUCGGAAUCACUGGGCUUAAAGGGCGCGUAGGCGGGCUCGCAAGUCUGUGGUGAAAGCCUCCAGCUUAACUGGAGAAGUGCCAUGGAUACUGCGAACCUGGAGGAGGGUAGGGGCAUCUGGAACGCUGGGUGGAGCGGUGAAAUGCGUUGAUAUCCAGCGGAACUCCGGUGGCGAAGGCGAGGUGCUGGACCCUAUCUGACGCUGAGGCGCGAAAGCCAGGGGAGCAAACGGG
rnacentral:rRNA from 1 species